GGCAUGUAAUAAGUGGGGAUGAAGAGUCCUAGGUUUGUUGGACUCUUACUUACCUUUUGUCACCUCCUCUCAUCAAAUCAAGUCCAAAAGAAAUAUGGGACACCCAACCACAUAUUUUUCAUGGUAAAACCAGAUUUGAUCUGAUUUCUCAUGAUGAGAAACCCCCAUAUUGUCAUACAAAAUAAGAGGAAUAAAAGGAAGUGGUGGCA
rnacentral:lncRNA from 1 species